CUCCUCCAAAAUUUCCGGAGUUGCUGUCAAAAAUAAUAAAUUUCGUUUUGAUUUCUCUAAAAUGCAACAUUUUUACUUUGUUUGAAUUCUUCGGUAAACAUUUGAAUUGUUUCAACUUUCAAAGUUUCCAUUUGUGCACCCAACAAAGUUUACCUUAAAAGCAACAUCUAAAACAAAAGAACCAAUUUAUGAUGUUCUUCUCUGUUAUCUAUCAUUCCCUACAUUAUCAAUUAGAUCUUGAACAAUGGGUUUCUUUUUGUACGGAUGCUCUGAAAUGUAAGAGGUGACAUUCUCAGAAACAAUAUCUAUUGAUCUAAUUGUCUCACCACCCACCUUCAGAGAAAGAAAGAGAUGGGGUUGCAAGAUAACGGGGAAGGAGACGGGUUGUCUAAUAUCUCAUUGGUAGAUAGAAACAAGUACCAUAGGAUGGAUGGAAAGCUUAUACAAAAUGAUGGUGAUAGACCCUCAGUUUAUCUUCGAUGUGCCCGGAAAACAAAUACAAAGAGAUUCGUUAUUACGUGUGCUAUAUUCGCCUCUCUCAAUACCAUUCUUGUUGGCUAUGAUAUAGGUGUUAUGAGUGGAGCAAUUUUGUUCAUUCAAGAGGACCUACAAAUAACGGAAGUGCAAGUAGAAGUUCUCGUAGGUUGUUUGAGCAUUAUGUCACUUUUUGGUAGUUUAGGUGGUGGGAAAGCCUCGGAUGCAAUUGGAAGAAAAUGGACCAUGGGUUUUGCAGCUGUUGUCUUUCAAACAGGUGCAUGUAUAAUGGCUGUUGCACCUUCAUUUUUUGUACUCAUGAUAGGCAGAAUCUUGGCCGGGAUAGGAAUAGGUUUUGGAGUCAUGAUCGCACCCGUUUAUAUUGCUGAAAUUUCCCCUACUUCUGCCAGAGGAUCUCUUACUUCUUACCCUGAAAUCUUCGUGAAUUUUGGUAUCCUGCUCGGUUAUGUCUCAAACUACGCAUUCUCAGGCCUUCCUGUACAUUACAGCUGGAGGGUUAUGCUUGCUGUGGGGAUUUUUCCAUCAGUGUUUAUUGGAUUUGCACUAUUCAUAAUCCCCGAGUCCCCGAGAUGGCUAGUUAUGCAGAACCGUAUUGAAGAUGCAAGAGCUGUCAUGAUAAAAACUAAUGAAAGUGAAACUGAAGUAGAAGAGAGAUUAGCUGAAAUUCAGAAAGCAGCUGUAACUGCUAAUUUGGAAAUAGAAGAGAAAGCUGUUUGGCGUGAGAUGCUGAAUCCUAAUCCUUCACUUCGCCGAAUGCUAAUUUCCGGUAUGGGAAUACAACUUUUUCAGCAGAUUACUGGUAUUGAUGCUACUGUAUGUUACGGCCCAACAAUAUUUAGAGAAGCUGGGAUCAAGAAUAAAACUUCUCUUCUCGCUGCUACUGUUGCUAUCGGAUUCUCCAAGACUAUUUUCAUCUUGAUUGCAAUAUUUCUCAUUGACCGAGUCGGAAGAAAGCCGUUGUUGUAUAUUAGCACAAUUGGGAUGACAACUUGCUUGUUUGGAUUAGUCAUUUCUCUUUGCUUUUCUGGUCAUGGAACCUUUGGGAUCUCCAUUGCAAUUUUGUUGGUGUGCUCAAAUGUAGCAUUUUUCUCAGUAGGAAUUGGUCCGAUUUGCUGGGUUUUGACAUCAGAAAUCUUUCCUCUAAAAUAUAGAGCUCAGGCAGCAGCUCUUGGAGCAGUUGCUAACAGAGUGAGCAGUGGCUUCAUUUCCAUGUCUUUUCUCUCAGUAGCACGUGCAAUUACGGUGGCGGGAACAUUCUUCAUCUUUUCUGUGAUUUCAGCUCUCUCAGUUGCUUUUGUUCACAUUUGUGUCCCUGAAACAAAAGGAAAAUCUCUGGAGCAGAUUGAAGUAAUGUUUCAGAAAGGGCACGAAUUUUAUAUACGUGAGUUAGAGCUAGCAGAUACCGAGCAUUUGGUGCAGAAAGAGUGACUGGUUGGUUUCAUCAAUUACACUGAUACGUUCUGGAUAGCUUGCAGUUGCAACCGCUAACGAGUUUCCAAUGUAUAAAAUACGAUACACAUCAAUUAUAUCAACUAAAAGAUUUGAGUCUUACAUGCUCAAAUGAAAAACAGCGUUGUUUAUGAAUAAUUACAUAAGAUGGUAGUGUUGCUUUGACAGGAAGACGAACUGAUUCUGCUCACAUCUGUUAGUGGCUGAAUAAGAACUUGACAAGCCUCAAAAUCAGAGAAGAAUCUGAACAUAUACAGUAUAAUAAAAUCAACUAAACGUUGCUCACUCAUUUUCAAGUUUCAACAACAUCUUUUGAGACAAUCUGACCUGAUAUUUGUGAUUUGUGAAGAGUCAAGUGCUCAGACGAAGAUAUGUGCACUACAAGAAAAGAAAAAAAGUAUUUUUUUUCCUUUGAAUUCUGUAUUUGAAAAUUUAAGUAAACCACAGACUAAGACAUUAUUCUUUACAUUCUUGUCUGACCUGUUGGAUUAACUUCAA